rnacentral:rRNA from 1 species
GACGAACGCUGGCGGCAUGCCUAACACAUGCAAGUCUAGGGGUAGCAAUACCACUGGCGCACGGGUGAGUAACACGUAGGUUAUCUGCCCCCAUCACAGACAUAACCCCGGGAAACCGGGGCUAAUAUCUGAUGAGGUCGCGAGAUCAAAGCUUCGGCGGAUGGGGAUGAGCCUGCGGCUGAUUAGCUAGUUGGUGAGGUAAUGGCUCACCAAGGCGACGAUCAGUAGCUGGUCUGAGAGGACGAACAGCCACACUGGAACUGAGACACGGUCCAGACUCCUACGGGAGGCAGCAGUGAGGAAUAUUGGUCAAUGGGAGCAAUCCUGAACCAGCAAUGCCGCGUGUGGGAUGACAGGGCUUCGCCUUGUAAACCACUGUCGGACGGGACGAAAGGAGGCCUCGGGCCUCUGGGACGGUACCGUCAAAGGAAGGAUCGGCUAACUACGUGCCAGCAGCCGCGGUAAU